rnacentral:rRNA from 1 species
UACGGAGGGGGCUAGCGUUGUUCGGAAUUACUGGGCGUAAAGCGCGCGUAGGCGGCUUUGUAAGUCAGAGGUGAAAGCCCGGAGCUCAACUUCGGAAUAGCCUUUGAGACUGCAUCGCUUGAAUCCAGGAGAGGUGAGUGGAAUUCCGAGUGUAGAGGUGAAAUUCGUAGAUAUUCGGAAGAACACCAGUGGCGAAGGCGACUUACUGGACACAUAUUGACGCUGAGGUGCGAAAGCGUGGGGAGCAAACAGG